UACAGAGGUCCCAAGCGUUGUUCGGAUUCAUUGGGCGUAAAGGGUGCGUAGGCGGCGCGGUAAGUCGGGUGUGAAAUCUCGGAGCUUAACUCCGAAACUGCAUUCGAUACUGCCGUGCUGGAGGACUGGAGAGGAGACUGGAAUUUACGGUGUAGCGGUGAAAUGCGUAGAUAUCGUAAGGAAGACCAGUGGACGGAAGGCGGGUCUCUGGACAGUUCCUGACGCUGAGGCACGAAGGCCAGGGGAGCAAACGGG
rnacentral:rRNA from 1 species